rnacentral:rRNA from 1 species
UACGUAGGGUGCAAACGUUAUCCGGAUUUACUGGGCGUAAAGAGCUCGUAGGUGGUCUUGUAAGUUGAAUAUUAAAUCUCCCGGCUCAACUGGGAACAAGUAUUCAAAACUGCUUGACUAGAGGUAUAUAGGGGAGGAUGGAACUUACAGUGUAGCAGUGAUAUGCGUAGAUAUUGUAAGGAACGCCAAAGGUGAAAACAGUCCUCUGGAUAUUACCUGACACUGAGGAGCGAAAGCGUGGGGAGCGAACGGG